rnacentral:rRNA from 1 species
AUACCGUGAAACUGCGAAUGGCUCAUUAAAUCAGUUAUCGUUUAUUUGAUAGUACCUUACUACUUGGAUAACCGUGGUAAUUCUAGAGCUAAUACAUGCUAAAAACCCCGACUCCGGAAGGGGUGUAUUUAUUAGAUAAAAAGCCAAUGCCCUUUGGGGCUCUUUGGUGAUUCAUAGUAACUUAACGGAUCGCAUGGCCUUGCGCCGGCGACGGUUCAUUCAAAUUUCUGCCCUAUCAACUUUCGAUGGUAAGGUAUUGGCUUACCAUGGUUUCAACGGGUAACGGGGAAUUAGGGUUCGAUUCCGGAGAGGGAGCCUGAGAAACGGCUACCACAUCCAAGGAAGGCAGCAGGCGCGCAAAUUACCCAAUCCCGACACGGGGAGGUAGUGACAAUAAAUACUGAUACAGGGCUCUUUUGGGUCUUGUAAUCGGAAUGAGUACAAUUUAAACCCCUUAACGAGGAACAAUUGGAGGGCAAGUCUGGUGCCAGCAGCCGCGGUAAUUCCAGCUCCAAUAGCGUAUAUUAAAGUUGUUGCAGUUAAAAAGCUCGUAGUUGAACCUUGGGCCUGGCUGGCUGGUCCGCCUCACCGCGUGUACUGGUCCGGCCGGGCCUUUCCUUCUGGAGAGCCCCAUGCCCUUCACUGGGUGUGUGGGGGAACCAGGACUUUUACUGUGAAAAAAUUAGAGUGUUCAAAGCAGGCCUUUGCUCGAAUACGUUAGCAUGGAAUAAUAGAAUAGGACGUGCGGUCCUAUUUUGUUGGUUUCUAGGACCGCCGUAAUGAUUAAUAGGGAUAGUCGGGGGCAUCAGUAUUCAAUUGUCAGAGGUGAAAUUCUUGGAUUUAUUGAAGACUAACUACUGCGAAAGCAUUUGCCAAGGAUGUUUUCAUUAAUCAGUGAACGAAAGUUAGGGGAUCGAAGACGAUCAGAUACCGUCGUAGUCUUAACCGUAAACUAUGCCGACUAGGGAUCGGGCGAUGUUUCUAUUUUGACUCGCUCGGCACCUUACGAGAAAUCAAA